GUGGCACAGUGGUUAAGCGUCUGCCUAGGGAUAAAAAGGAUUUUGUAUUUUGGCUGGCCGAUGAACUCACAAGUAUAGGUAGUGUGCACCAUGAGGGGCAAGUGUUUCGAUAUCACCACAAGGGUCUCUGGCCAAUUGAGUGGAGUUUAAUAGUAAUUCUUGCUACGAGU
rnacentral:snoRNA from 1 species